UUUUUAUUCCAAUCUUCUCGAGAAUUUCUAUUCGUGUAGCAAAGUUCCAUGUACUUGGCACAGUAAUUGAUUUGGAUUAUUUUUUUCCUAUUAUUCAUGAAUUCUUCUGAUUAAUCAUGUGGGUGCCUGUUUAGGCACCAACAAGGUGGAGGGCCGAGUUUCAUGUGUAGAAUGGAAGGCGAUAGAAUAAUUAUCGGCGAUGAUCGCCGAGGUGAGGUAGAGGGACGAUCGGGAAUUCCUCGAUAAGAGCCGAGGAUUCGCAGAAAUCAAAAGGAAGCCCAGAGAUAGUGUGUGUCUCCCAGGAUCGUUGCGACGUGCACGUCAAAUAUACCUAUAUAUAUAUACCCAGGAAAUUAUCAGAUAAGUUUCAAAUAAAUAAUAUACAUUUCCACGAGAGAUAAGGGAGACCAGAACUUGAAUCGAACUGUUUCAUACUAGGCCCUAAUAUAUAUUUUAUAUCUAUAAGUCCUUUCUACGCUUGAUUCUGUCAUAUACACAAUUACUUCAUCUGUCCAUUUUAACAUAUAUGUUUUGCUUAAAGCUAAGUCUGCCUGUUAUUUCGUUAUUGUCGACAUUUUUAUUUAUACAAUAAUCGUUAUUUAUUUUUGUGCCUUGUUUUCACCGCAAAUCGUUGGUUCACUAAUUUAUUAUUAUAUCUGUGAUAGCGUCAUAUAUUCUCAUUUUUACACCUCAAGAUUGUUAGACAAGUGGACCGAAGAGAUUUAAUAAGCUUUUGUUAUGUGCAUAUAUGAACGCAAUUUAUUGGAAUUAAUAUAAAAUGACUAUAGGUCAAAAGACGUUAACAUUAAUUUGAAUUCAUUGGUCCUAAGAUCCUAAUCCAUAACAUAUCGGUCGAUCGUCUUAAUCCGAUCAACCAGGCUAGCGAUCCCCUAAAUAAGAGAAUCGUUACAAUCAUUAGAUAUAUUUUAAUGGUAGUUACUGUUGAAUAUUUGAUGUACUUGGCGAACUUUUUUGCACCGUAGGUGCCUUUUGUGGGAUUAUCCUUAAUGCGUCUCGUUUAUUGUCCUUUUUUCAGAACACUCAUUUCUAAUGCAUCAAAGGCAAGUGUUUACUCUGUCAUCGACGGAGAUCAUCCUAUCCUAUUUAAUCCACCAUAUCAUUUCUCUGAUCAAAAUAACAUCAGUCGUGGUUUCUACGAUAUUAUCGACAGAUAGAUUCUAAUAUUUUCGGUAAACACACCGUGGAUCAUAACAGAUCGUGGCCGGUCGAUGCGAUCCCCCACCUCUGCUGUGGCGCUGCUGUAAAUUCGACUAGGGAUAUUUUGCGAGAACCUAAAUCAGAUAGCGUCGUGUUUCCGUAUUUCACUCAUGAACACGGUCGGUGUACGUACACAAGCAUACCCCCACCACGCUUCCCGCACCUUUAUUCCUAUCUAUACCCAACGUUACGACGUUUGUUGUGUGUCGACUACAUUGCCCGUGACCGACAAGCCUGUCCUACGACACCAAAUCACGCGUUGUCGCUGCCUUCUACAUACUGCCAAAGUUUGUUAUCGUCACUACUCUUUGUAAGAAUCAAUUUGGGAGUACUUUCAACCUAUUGAAAGAGAAGGACGGCCGGACGUAACACCGCAGAAAGUGGACACGUUUAACUAUGUCUGUCGAUAGAAUUAACGGUACCGCGAAUGAUUUACAGAAGAUGCAGGGCACAAUUGAUGUUGAAGAAAAGCGUCGCCGUAAAUUGUGGGAACGGAUGGAAGUUGACAUAGGCGUUCGCGUACCUAUACACGUAAAAAAUAUCUUGAAAUUUAACAACCUGGACAACGUCUUGUGUUUCCGCAAAAUUACGGGGGAUCUUAUAAGCGAGCUGGAGGACUUUGCCAGAACAAUAAUGCUAUUACUCUUGGCGGAGAGUGAAAAUUUGCAAAAUUAUUACGGAAUAUUCCAUAAAGUGCCUGGGAAGUUCAAAUUUCUACCUGGAGAUAGGAUCUUAAUACUUGAGUGUGUAGAUCACGCGAAAUCGAAAGCUAAAGACUAUUUUUAUUAGUGGUUUUUUUUUUAUUGAACUCGAGAAAAUACGACUAAUUAUCUUUUGUAAACUAUUAAAACACAUGAUAAAUAUAUAAUCAGGUAUAACAAGUAUAAUUGUAUUUAAUGUAUUCAAUAAUUCAAGAUAUGAAAUAAUCAAGUUGACUCAGGAUUAUGAGUUUUGACUGCGAUUUUAUAGAUGGCCGUGAUAUGUAGGUAAUUCUAUUACUGAAUGGUAAAGUGUAGUUUAUUAUCAGUUACUAUUACCAACCCAUCGAUGUUUUCUUUAGUUUCAAUAUUUGAGAUGUUUUGCUUUCGUCAAAUCCGUCUUGUCUAUUAAAAAUCUCGUUUUUAUUCAAAUCACGAUAUUGUAAACUAUGUAGUUUGUACUCAUGUUUGUAUAUUUGAACUUGCUCGAGCUAUGAUCAUACAGAUAAAGUUUCAUAUGCAUUUUUCAAUUAUGUAACGCUUAAUUCAAUCAAUGCCGCAACCAUUCAAAUAUCACUACAUAAUUUGUUAAUCAGGCCGAACCCGGGGCCCAGUGAAAAUUUGCUGUAACAUUUUUUUUUUUUUUUAAUCUUUUCCUUUGAAUCACUAGAUCAAAUAUUUCAAUUAAUCGUUGGAGAUGCUUUCUGGUAGCCACGCGAACCCUCCGAACCCCUUACAAACCUAUGAAGUCAUCGCCAAAUGAAUGAAUGCUAUUUGCUACCCGACCUCCACCGAAUCGUAAAUAUCGACUAAGGCAAAAACAUUCGAACUGUAAAAAUAAACCGCCAAGUACCAAAUUGAAAAUUAUUUCGCUGUUAUUUGUAGUAAAAUAAAAUAAUAACGCGGAGCACUACAGAUUCCCGACAAGCAUUUGUCGUAAAGUCAGUCCGCGCUGUUUCGUGUACUGGAUAUCGAAUAAUCAUUUCAAGAGCUGCAUCCUUGGGGAGCGCAUUAUAUUAUCAUCUGUUUGCUCCAGAAUACUAUUUUACGAGUGUACUUUGUAUCAUUUUAUUUCUUCCAAAUUAUCUUUAGGAUCAUGAAUAGGAUUUGAAAUAAAAAAUGGGCCAACGUGCAGGUAUAUUACUGCGUACAUAUUAGCCUGAAUCAUUUACUAUUUGACGAAUGGGAUUGGCCUAUACUAACGGAGUAUCGCCUUGAGGAUUAGGGAGCCUUCAGGAAAAUCGGCGACGCCCGACGCCCUAAUCCCCAAGGCGAUACUCCAUGUUUUCUAUUUUUCCAUCUCUACAGGGUAAUUGCUAUUUCAUCAUUAAUCGAGGGGAUAUAAUCGAGAGUACAAAUAAAUAAAUAUUUGAUUUUUUCCUGUGUAUAGGCAAACAGAAUGUUGAAGACCGAUUGCAAGUAUACAGGCUUUUUAAUUCAAUUCCCAAUUAUCAUGAACUUGAAUUUUCAAUUAAAUUGGAAAAAUAGAUAUCUCGGAUACAGAUAAAGUUUUUUAUAUAUGCCUGAAUAUGUGGAAACACUACUUCUCUGAUGUAAGAUGAAAAUCUGAAUCGCGUUUUUCACGAAGAUGAUCGAUAUGAGGUAGAUGUUCCAAUUACUGAAAAUACUCUAGUUAUUGACUCUAUGUAAGUUAAAUGCAGUCCGAUGAUUGGGACACGACAUCACGGGCAUUGGUCAAAAUGCGAAUGUUCAAGAUUGGUACAAACAGUUCGUUUCAGAUAUAAAUAUACACACGUUUUUGAAAUUUUUUAUACGUUUUUUUACAUGAGUAAUGCGCCACGGGCCAUUUAUUUCGCCAUUUUUACGCGACCUGCAAGAGGUAAAAUUUCAAGUUUCAACACUGAGAUGCGGAGGGGUGCAUUCGAAAGGUAACAGAGCUUCAAAAAUUCACAUGAGAUAAUACUGCGAUAAGGGUUUUGCAAAUUCGAAGUUUCGGGCUUCAAAAUCGUUCCUGAAAAACUUUGAUACGAUGACUGAGUCGGUCAGGAUAUUCGAUCAAAUAUUUAUGGACAAUAAUUCCUUCAGAGUCGCAUAACUCAUGCAAAAAAACGUACGAAAAUGAAAAAAAAACGUAUUUCGAAGAGGACACUUUAACCUUUAAAAUGACUUCAGAAAAAUUGAAAUCCAACGACUGAAGCACCUCGUGCACCUUCUCAAAGUCAGAAGUUUACUUCACGUUUUCUACACGAGUUGAAUCAGGAGGGUGUAACUAGUGAACAAUAAAGCGCUAUCCAAAUCAACUCAAAGCGUCUGGAAGGUGAAGCUUCAAGCUUCAAAAUGCUCUAAUUCACCUCAAUUACCUCUCUCCACCUGAAUUUUUCGAGCGGUUAUGAGGUUUCGGAAUUGGACGCUUUUCGGAGUGAAAACAGGGUGACCCGCUAAUUUUUAUUCGCAGUAUAUUUUUCAUCGGUUACGAUAAUUUAAUCGCGAACCGAUUCAUCUUUGAGUAUAUUUGCUAAUGGAAUAAGUAUGACGCUUAGAAUAUUCGUAUUAAAAAAAAAAACAUGUGUAACUUCACUGAAGUAUCAGGAAUUGGAACCUUCACCUCGUUCAACAAACUUACUCAUUAUUAAUUGUGCUAUGUCAAAUGUCAGAUGAAUAUAUAAGUGCCAAUGAUUCAUGUAUAUCGGAUGAGGACUGUUCUGACGUCUUACGUGUUAUAUUUGAUUACUUUCUGUUGGCUUACCAAUGUUUUUUGUUCCGGGAGAGUAUUUUAGCUGUCUUUUCUUUUGUAUUUUAAGGUUGUCCAUUACAUGGUUUCGUGAAUCUGAUUUUGUUUGCUCACUUGUGCAUCAGUUUUCAAUAAAAUUAUAACUUAUUCUUGUAAUGUACUUUGAAUUAUAGCAUUUCCAAUGUAGCAGAAUGUAUUCCUUGAAAUUAUAAUAUAAAAACAUGAGAGCGUGUGUAAAAAAUGCGCCCGCCAAGUAUGCAGCUCUUGAAGUGAUUGUUCGAUAUCCAGUACACGAAACAGUGCAGUCUAACUUCACGACGUGUCUGUAGUGCUCGGCAUGAUUAUUUUAUUUUACUACAAAUAUCAAUGAAAUAAUUUUGAAUCCAAGUACAUUGGAAUAUUAAUUUUACGCGUGUACGUGGCUUCGUCGAUUCUCGUAUCAAAGACAGGUGGACAUCGUAAGAGUAUACCGUAGUGAUUCUGAUUUUGGAUCACGCAACAAAUUGCUACGCAUAUAGCUUCAUAAAUAAUCGACUCGAGUUCUAAUAGAAUCCAGCGAGUCAGAACGAAAGUUUAUCUCUUGGCCAAUACUAUGACAACCCAUUUACAGGUAAUUAGUUACUAAUUUUCAUACAUCUUGUUUUUCAAACAAAAAUUUGUUUAAAUUAAAUUCUUUCAGCCUGCACACUUGCCGUCACAAGCAGUUCAAUAAUUCCUUGAAUAACUUUAUCGUGGUUUCGUUAUCUCCGAAUGAAGUUAUCGACGACAUUUCUCCUAGUGACCGGACGGUAGAGAUCAUCGUCUACGUUGACUCCGUUGAACGAAUUAAAGUUGUUGGUAAAAUUAAAAAAGAAAAAUUAUUCAAAUUUACCGGAAAUAAUGGCAGCGGCAGGCAAAUUCAAUGCUUGGCCUGGAAGGGGGAGAUAGAGAGAGUGUCUACGCUGAUCGCCUUGAAUAGAGUGAGUGUUGAAUUCAUAAUUCGGUCAUUUUUGUAACUUUGAUGGCGAUGUCUCUUUGCUUGAUCGCUUUCGGAUCAUACAUAUUGAUGGGGCUACCUCUAAAAGGGUUGAAAACCCAACACUUAUCACUGGAAAUGUGCGAUUUGAGUUAAAUUUUAAUUCAAAUGCCGUGAUCAACGACAUCGGGCAGUUCAAAGAUAAUUAUGAUAAUUUUGGAGGCGAAAUCAGUAAUACUUUCGGUAAUCCGAGGACAAUAUCGCCAGCUGGAGUCCAGGUACCCCUCUUCGAUUUCCUCUGCAACGUGAAUUCGAAAGGCUCCAGAAUGUUGAAAAUCUGUCAACAUCAACUACGCUGGAGGAGAAAAUGACCAGGAAAUGGAUCCAAGCCUAUUACCAGAUUCCGGAACUUGUCCAGCCACUCCUUCCCUCUCCCAUAAAAAAUCCUCAACCCCUAGAUCCUAAGGAGAGAGUCGUCAGCCCCGUCUCCAAAAACCCCCUGUUUUCGAAUCUUGUAUCCCUGUAAAAAAUUCCCCCAUCAUAGUGUCUAUCAGCUGAGACGAUAUUGUUCCACGAAAAUUAUCUAAAAUCAAAUUAGAAAUGUUAGAAAAAUUAUUCUUAAAAAAAAAUAAAAAAAAAAAAAAAUAAUAAAUAAACGGAGUACAUAGUACAAUGAUGAGACAGGUGU